rnacentral:misc_RNA from 1 species
UGAAGUCAUCACGGAUCCCGGG